rnacentral:lncRNA from 1 species
UUCCGUCUGAUUUGUUUAAUUAAGUCGUAUCAUUUCGUAACUGCGAAGACGUCGUUGGGUUAAGUAAUUAACCGAUUGUUUGCGUUUCAGGAGCUAAUGGCACCGAAGAGACGCUACGUGCGUAGGGCUGCUCCGGCACCACCCCCAGGGGUGCCCGAGUCAGCUGUGCCCCCGGCGGCGCCAGAGCCAGCUGGGCCUAGUGAGGUGCAAGAAUUGCAGGCACAAGUUGCUGCGUUAGCAGGGAGGUUUGAUCGGCUCCAGGAGCUUAUGGAGCGUCAAGCGGCGGCUGCGGCAGUUGGCCAAGGCCACGUUCCACCUGCGCCUUCGGUUCGCGCCCCUGAUGCGGCCGAGGAUGUGGGUGAUGCGCCGGUU